GAUGAACGCUGGCGGCGUGCUUAACACAUGCAAGUCGAACGGAAAGGCUCCUGCUUGCCGGGGUACUCGAGUGGCGAACGGGUGAGUAACACGUGGGUGAUCUGCCCUGCACUUCGGGAUAAGCCUGGGAAACUGGGUCUAAUACCGGAUAGGACGAUGGUUUGGAUGCCAUUGUGGAAAGUUUUUCGGUGUGGGAUGAGCUCGCGGCCUAUCAGCUUGUUGGUGGGGUAAUGGCCUACCAAGGCGUCGACAGGUAGCCGGCCUGAGAGGGUGUACGGCCACAUUGGGACUGAGAUACGGCCCAGACUCCUACGGGAGGCAGCAGUGGGGAAUAUUGCACAAUGGGCGCAAGCCUGAUGCAGCGACGCCGCGUGGGGGAUGACGGCCUUCGGGUUGUAAACUCCUUUCGCUAGGGACGAAGCGCAAGUGACGGUACCUGGAGAAGAAGCACCGGCUAACUACGUG
rnacentral:rRNA from 1 species